AUAUAGCCGUCAGCCGGUGACCAAUCAGAAGGAGCCCCAGAAGUGAAAGGUUUUUAAACAGAAAGCACAUCCAGUUCUGGCAGUAGCAAUUCCCAAUCCCUAUAGAAGAUCGCCAACGAUGGGGUUAAAACUUCCAAGUGAUCAUUUGCGCAUCUGGGAGAGAGACUCAGAGGGUACCAUCCAUAUUCUCUUUUUCUAAGCUCGUAAGAUGCAACUUGGGGUGGAUGGAACACAACAGGAUAGCUUGGCUGGGACACAACCGGACCUGUAUGGAGCUGUGCUUGGGGAUAUCGAACGAGAUCGGAAUGAGGAGUGAUGUAAUCUGGUCUUGCAGUUUACUGCAGCUAAUUAUAUGAUCUUAAAUUACAUUGAUGAAGACAAGUAGUGCCUCUUAUUUAUGGGAUUUUCGAACCACCUUUUUCAUGAUGAUUAAGGAGUUUUUCUCAUUUAUUUGGAAGCACCGCCUACUAUUUUUUUUCAUUUUUUUAAGUUUAUAUGAUUUUUCAUGUAAAAAGCACCACCGACUUUUGCUAUUAAUGGAUAUCAACUUCUUGUC